CAUUUGAAACUGGUUGACUAGAGUUUUGUAGAGGGUGGUAGAAUUUCAGGUGUAGCGGUGAAAUGCGUAGAGAUCUGAAGGAAUACCAGUGGCGAAGGCGGCCACCUGGACAAAGACUGACACUGAGGCGCGAAGGCGUGGGGAGCAAACGGGAUUAGAUACCCCGGUAGUCCACGCAGUAAACGAUGUCUAUUAGAAGUUUGUGGCUAUAUGCCGUGGGUUUCAAAGCUAACGCAUUAAAUAGACCGCCUGGGGAGUACGGCCGCAAGGUUAAAACUCAAAUGAAUUGACGGGGGCCCGCACAAGCGGUGGAGCAUGUGGUUUAAUUCGAUGCAACGCGAAGAACCUUACCAUCCCUUGACAUCCAGAGAAUCACCUAGAGAUAGAUGAGUGCCUUCGGGAACUCUGAGACAGGUGCUGCAUGGCUGUCGUCAGCUCGUGUUGUGAAAUGUUGGGUUAAGUCCCGCAACGAGCGCAACCCUUAUCCUUAGUUGCCAGCACGUAAUGGUGGGAACUCUAGGGAGACUGCCGGUGAUAAACCGGAGGAAGGUGGGGACGACGUCAAGUCAUCAUGGCCCUUACGGGAUGGGCUACACACGUGCUACAAUGGCAAAUACAAAGGGUUGCUAACCUGCGAGGGUAUGCGAAUCUCAUAAAGUUUGUCGUAGUCCGGAUCGGAGUCUGCAACUCGACUCCGUGAAGUUGGAAUCGCUAGUAAUCGUGGAUCAGAAUGCCACGGUGAAUACGUUCCCGGGCCUUGUACACACCGCCCGUCACACCAUGGGAGUGGGCUGCACCAGAAGUCAUUAGCUUAACCUUCGGGAUGGCAAUGACCACGGUGUGGUUCAUGACUGGGGUGAA
rnacentral:rRNA from 1 species